GAUGAACGCUAGCUACAGGCUUAACACAUGCAAGUCGCGUGACCGGCGCACGGGUGAGUAACGCGUAUCCAACCUGCCCUUCACCACCGGAUAACCCGGCGAAAGUCGGACUAAUACCGUAUGGUGAAGGAUGGGGAUGCCUCCGGUUAGCUUGACGGCGGGGUAACGGCCCACCGUGGCUACGAUCGGUAGGGGUUUUGUGAGGGAGGGCCCCCACGCUGGAACUGGGACACGGUCCAGACGCCUACGGGAGGAAGCAGUGAGGAAUAUUGGUCAAUGGGCGUAAGCCUGAACCAGCCAAGUAGCGUGCAGGACGACGGCCUAUGGGUUGUAAACUGCUUUUAUGCGGGGAUAGGUACCGCAUGAAUAAGGACCGGCUAAUUCCGUGCCAGCAGCCGCGGUAAUAC
rnacentral:rRNA from 1 species